UUAUAAUUUUAUGGGCGGUGAAUAUUCAACGCGAUAGUUACGCUUCGUAUGUUGGGCAUUAUCCGAUGUUAGCCUACUUUGCUGUAGCAGAAAAUGAAUCAAUUGGGAGGGAGCGCUACAAUUUCAUGCAGAAAAUGCUUUUGCCCUGUGGUCUUCCACCCGAGAGAGAAGAUGACUGAACUUGAGCCUACUGAGAUUCUGGAUACUGGAAGCUGAAAAUCUUCAUAUGUUUGAAUGUUUUGGAACUUUUUUUAUUCCAUGUUUGACUAUCAAAAUUCUAUCGGGUGUAUAAUUUGAUCUUUACGAAACAUUGCCCUAGAGUGGUAUCUUUGAUCAUAUAACUUGAUAUUUGAAUUAGGAGAUCUUUGUUAAUAGUUGCUUGCUUUUGCAGCUUUUGUUUUCAUGGAGUGCUGAAAUGUGUUCAAAUUUGUGGCAAGAAUCUGUACCCACUUGGUUAAUAAUUUAUUUUACGAGGACGGUGGGUGAAACUUAAUAUUAA